AUUGAACGCUGGCGGCAGGCCUAACACAUGCAAGUCGAGCGGGCCGGCGGACGGGUGAGUCAUGCCUAGGAAUCUGCCUGGUCGUGGGGGAUAACGUCCGGAAACGGGCUCUAAUACCGCAUACUCUCAGCUGAGCCUAGGUCGGAUUAGCUAGUUGGUGGGGUAAAGGCCUACCAAGGCGACGAUCCGUAACUGGUCUGAGAGGAUGAUCAGGCACACUGGAACUGAGACACGGUCCAGACUCCUACGGGAGGCAGCAGUGGGGAAUAUUGGACAAUGGGCGAAAGCCUGAUCCAGCCAUGCCGCGUGGGUGAAGAAGGUCUUCGGAUUGUAAAGCACUUUAAGUUGGGAGGCGUUACCAACAGAAGAAGCACCGGCUAACUUCGUGCCAGCAGCCGCGGUAAUUC
rnacentral:rRNA from 1 species